rnacentral:rRNA from 1 species
GUAGGUGGCAAGCGUUGUCCGGAAUUAUUGGGCGUAAAGCACGCGCAGGCGAUCCUUUAAGUCUGAUGUGAAACGCCCACGGCUCAACCGUGGAGGGUCAUUGGAAACUGGGGGACUUGAGUACAGAAGAGGAAAGCGGAAUUCCAAGUGUAGCGGUGAAAUGCGUAGAGAUUUGGAGGAACACCAGUGGCGAAGGCGGCUUUCUGGUCUGUAACUGACGCUGAGGCGCGAAAGCGUGGGGAGCAAACAGGAUUAGAUACCCUGGUAGUCCACGCCGUAAACGAUGAGUGCUAAGUGUUAGGGGGUUUCCCGCCCCUUAGUGCUGCAGCUAACGCAUUAAGCACUCCGCCUGGGGAGUACGGCCGCAAGGCUG